GGAGAGGGAGAAGCAGGCUUUCCGCCGAGCAGCGAGCCCGAUGUGGGGCUCAAUCCCAGGACUCUGGGAUCAUGACCUGAGCUGAAGACAAACGCUUAACAACUGAACCACCCAGGCGCCAAUGUGAUGAGUUAUCUUAAGAGGUCCAGUAAAGUGCCAUGGCAGUCCUUUCUGCUGGGACAAUCAGAGAAGGCUUCCUGGAGGAAGUGGCAUUUGUUCUGUUCCUUGAGUGAGUGAAGAAGUUUCUCCCACUCCGGUGUGAGAAGUUGGCUACUGUAUUGGAGGGAGGGGACAAUCCAAGCACAAAUGGAGGUCGAGAAGACACUGCCUUGUCCAAAACCUACAACAGGAUUUCUAUUGUCGAAACCCUACGACAGAAAUAACUUUCAAACAGUCAUGUGAAUAACACUGCACGUGAAGAGUUCACUUGAAAUGAAACCGAAGCUCAGCUUCAGUGGUCAAGACCAUCCGUGUUGGUGUUUUAUCAGGAAAAGCCUUAUCACUGCCCCUUUAAAGAUCACUUAAAAACAUCAAACAGACUAAAUCCC